GACAACAAAUAUAUGGUAUGAAAGAUUAAAAAUAAAAACAAACAGCACAUCUGUAUAGGGCAUUUGCCAAGAAUGGAGCUUGCAGAAUUGGAAGUUGAUCUGGAUGAUUUGCCCCAAAGGAGAUUGAAUCCAAACAAGUCACAGGGCAGCAGGAGAGAUGAAGAAUGCUCAUGAAGAAAGAACUGACCCCCCAUUGGACUUUCUCAUAAACUGAUGACUCACUCCUGUUGCAAACAUUGGCUUCACUGAGAGUGCACAUUCUGCUGUCUCUAUAGCUUUGCCAAAAGUGGCCACAAUGGAUUGGCAAUAUCUUUAUUUGCUGAGAAGCAAUACUUUUGAUAGUUUACAAGGUGGCUAUAUCUAAUAGAGUCAUAAACAUCUAGGGUCAAAAUUGA
rnacentral:lncRNA from 10 species